UUAGGUCCAAGAUAAGAAGAAAAACAUUAAUGAUUGGAAGUACAGGUUAGGUCAACAAUUUUUCAACUUUUUAAAAUAAGUGGAACUUUUAAAAAAUGAAGAAUGAAAUCACGGUAUGUGAAACAGAUAAAAGUGGAAAUGUAUUUGGGGGGAACUACUAACCUCCUCUUUUCCACUUGAAGCACUUUUGGCUUCAUAAAACAGUGAUGAAAUGUGUGUUAUAGGUAAUUAUUUUAAAAACUAGUCACUGUGGAAGCAUUAGACCAGGUAUUUUCAAUAAUCCUUUUCCCAAGGAGCCAUAGCUGAUGAACGUUAUAGCCUCAGCAUUUCUAGAGAUGAAGUUUCUAGACUUGAUUUGCUGUGAAUGAUGAUGUUAGAAACAUCGUGCUACUGGCUCCUAUCACUUUCCAAUUGCCUUGUAACAUGGCAGUUACUUUAUGUACCAACAUCCCAAAGGUGUGAUUGAAUGUGGAUUAUCAAUUCACACAGGGUCUCUCUGGUGCUGGGAUACCUGUUAUAAUCACUUUCUAAUUCCUAGAUUUGCUGGUGUUUAGAAAUCUGAAAGGUAUCAGAAAAACAGAUUUUAUCACAAUUUUUGGCUAUUGAAAAUGUCAGUAACAUAUUUUUUUAAUCACUGCACCUGUAGAAUUAUUCUCACAAAAAAUUCAUUUGGGUCUCCAGAAACUGUUAGCAAAAGCUAAAGAGGGCAUUUAUUUUCUGACUUCCUUCCUACCCCUUCCUGAGGAUUGAAUAUCUAUCUUAAUAAUUUUGGAUGUGCUUAUAAAUGAAUUGAUAUUCAAAUCAGAUACCUCUGCCCCAUGUCAGGCUUUGGUUGCGCAAGUAAUGGGUGACUCACCUUACCUUCUGUUCCACAUGUGAAGCCAACACCUCUUGAAGCCAAAUUUCUAUAGCUUUUGAAAAUACAGUAUUACUCUUGGUAUUGGGUUAACUGUAAAUGAAAUAAACAGGUUAGCAAAAAAGGUACAAAUCUUAUCUAAACCUCUGUACAUCAAGUAUGGAUAUUCACUUCUAAAUCAAUUCAGAAUCAAAUUGAUUUUUGGUGUCAAUGCCCAAAGGUAGGUAAAUAUAGAUGAGAUGGCUCUACCUUAGAGAGUUGAAUGAUUCCUCCAUAUUUAAAACUCUGUUCAACUUAGUGAGAAGAGAUUAUUAAGAUACGUAAUGAAGUCCUAUUUUGUAUGGAGAUUUGAUUCCAAUGUCAGUAUUUAAGGCAAAAAAUGUACGUAGUCCAAUCAUCCUUGACAAACCCUUA
rnacentral:lncRNA from 1 species